UGAGUAACACGUGGGUAACCUACCCAUCAGAGGGGGAUAACACUUGGAAACAGGUGCUAAUACCGCAUAACAGUUUAUGCCGCAUGGCAUAAGAGUGAAAGGCGCUUUCGGGUGUCGCUGAUGGAUGGACCCGCGGUGCAUUAGCUAGUUGGUGAGGUAACGGCUCACCAAGGCCACGAUGCAUAGCCGACCUGAGAGGGUGAUCGGCCACACUGGGACUGAGACACGGCCCAGACUCCUACGGGAGGCAGCAGUAGGGAAUCUUCGGCAAUGGACGAAAGUCUGACCGAGCAACGCCGCGUGAGUGAAGAAGGUUUUCGGAUCGUAAAACUCUGUUGUUAGAGAAGAACAAGGACGUUAGUAACUGAACGUCCCCUGACGGUAUCUAACCAGAAAGCCACGGCUAACUACGUGCCAGCAGCCGCGGUAAUACGUAGGUGGCAAGCGUUGUCCGGAUUUAUUGGGCGUAAAGCGAGCGCAGGCGGUUUCUUAAGUCUGAUGUGAAAGCCCCCGGCUCAACCGGGGGAGGGUCAUUGGAAACUGGGAGACUUGAGUGCAGAAGAGGAGAGUGGAAUUCCAUGUGUAGCGGUGAAAUGCGUAGAUAUAUGGAGGAACACCAGUGGCCGAAGGCGGCUCUCUGGUCUGUAACUGACGCUGAGCUCGAAAGCGUGGGGGAGCAAACAGGAUUAGAU
rnacentral:rRNA from 1 species